UAAACGCUAGGUUUUUCAGCUUUCAGGAACCCCUUCCCUUGAUGGCGUUGCAUCGGAAAACAUCAGUGACUUCCCCGCGCAGUCCAUUGUGUAUGUACUACUCGGAUAACCAUAGUAAUUCUAGAGCUAAUACGUGCAAGAAAUCCCGACCUCUGGAAGGAAUGCAUUUAUUAGAUAAAAGGCCAGUGCGGGCUUUGCCCGAUGCUUUGGUAAAUCAUGAUAACUCGACGGAUCGCAUGGCCAUUGUGGUGGCGACGCAUCAUUCAAAUUUCUGCCCAAUCAACUUUCGAUGGUAGGAUAGAGGCCUACCAUGGUGGUGACGGGUGACGGAUGACGGAGAAUUAGGGUUCGAUUCCGGAGAGGGAGCCUGAGAAAUGACUACCACAUCCAAGGAAGGCAGCAGGUGCGCAAAUUACCCAAUUCUGACACAGGGAGGUAGUGACA
rnacentral:rRNA from 1 species